rnacentral:rRNA from 1 species
AUUGAACGCUGGCGGCAGGCCUAACACAUGCAAGUCGAGCGGAAGAGAGGAGCUUGCUUCUCGAUUCAGCGGCGGACGGGUGAGUAAUGCCUAGGAAUCUGCCUGGUAGUGGGGGACAACGUUUCGAAAGGAACGCUAAUACCGCAUACGUCCUACGGGAGAAAGCAGGGGACCUUCGGGCCUUGCGCUAUCAGAUGAGCCUAGGUCGGAUUAGCUAGUUGGUGAGGUAAUGGCUCACCAAGGCGACGAUCCGUAACUGGUCUGAGAGGAUGAUCAGUCACACUGGAACUGAGACACGGUCCAGACUCCUACGGGAGGCAGCAGUGGGGAAUAUUGGACAAUGGGCGAAAGCCUGAUCCAGACAUGCCGCGUGUGUGAAGAAGGCCUUCGGAUUGUAAAGCACUUUAAGUUGGGAGGAAGGGUUGUAGAUUAAUACUCUGCAAUUUUGACGUUACCGACAGAAUAAGCACCGGCUAACUCUGUGCCAGCAGCCGCCGUAAUAC